rnacentral:rRNA from 1 species
AACGAACGCUGGCGGCAUGCCUAACACAUGCAAGUCGAACGAGACCUUCGGGUCUAGUGGCGAACGGGUGCGUAACGCGUGGGAACCUUCCCUUAUGUUCGGAAUAACUCCCCGAAAGGGGUGCUAAUACCGGAUAAUGUCUUCGGACCAAAGAUUUAUCGCCUUUGGAUGGGCCCGCGUUGGAUUAGCUAGUUGGUAGGGUAAAAGCCUACCAAGGCGACGAUCCAUAGCUGGUCUGAGAGGAUGAUCAGCAACACUGGGACUGAGACACGUCCCAGACUCCUACGGGAGGCAGCAGUGGGGAAUAUUGGACACUGGGCGAGAGCCUGAUCCAUCAAUGCCGCGUGAGUGUUGAAGGCCUUAGGGUUGUAAAGCUGUUUUACCCGGGAUGAUAAUGACAGUACCGGGAGAAUAAGCUCCGGCUAACUCCGUG